UUUUUAUGGAGAGUUUGAUCCUGGCUCAGGAUGAACGCUGGCGGCGUGCCUAAUACAUGCAAGUCGAGCGAACAGACGAGGAGCUUGCUCCUUUGACGUUAGCGGCGGACGGGUGAGUAACACGUAGGUAACCUACCUAUAAGACUGGGAUAACUUCGGGAAACCGGAGCUAAUACCGGAUAAUAUUUCGAACCGCAUGGUUCGAUAGUGAAAGAUGGCUUUGCUAUCACUUAUAGAUGGACUUGCGCCGUAUUAGCU
rnacentral:rRNA from 1 species